rnacentral:rRNA from 1 species
GGCAGGCCUAACACAUGCAAGUCGAGCGGUAGAGAGAAGCUUGCUUCUCUUGAGAGCGGCGGACGGGUGAGUAAUGCCUAGGAAUCUGCCUGGUAGUGGGGGAUAACGUUCGGAAACGGACGCUAAUACCGCAUACGUCCUACGGGAGAAAGCAGGGGACCUUCGGGCCUUGCGCUAUCAGAUGAGCCUAGGUCGGAUUAGCUAGUUGGUGAGGUAAUGGCUCACCAAGGCGACGAUCCGUAACUGGUCUGAGAGGAUGAUCAGUCACACUGGAACUGAGACACGGUCCAGACUCCUACGGGAGGCAGCAGUGGGGAAUAUUGGACAAUGGGCGAAAGCCUGAUCCAGCCAUGCCGCGUGUGUGAAGAAGGUCUUCGGAUUGUAAAGCACUUUAAGUUGGGAGGAAGGGCAGUUACCUAAUACGUGAUUGUUUUGACGUUACCGACAGAAUAAGCACCGGCUAACUCUGUGCCAGCAGCCGCGGUAAUACAGAGGGUGCAAGCGUUAAUCGGAAUUACUGGGCGUAAAGCGCGCGUAGGUGGUUAGUUAAGUUGGAUGUGAAAUCCCCGGGCUCAACCUGGGAACUGCAUUCAAAACUGACUGACUAGAGUAUGGUAGAGGGUGGUGGAAUUUCCUGUGUAGCGGUGAAAUGCGUAGAUAUAGGAAGGAACACCAGUGGCGAAGGCGACCCCCCUGGACUGAUA